AUUGAACGCUGGCGGCAUGCUUUACACAUGCAAGUCGAACGGCAGCGGGGGCUUCGGCCUGCCGGCGAGUGGCGAACGGGUGAGUAAUGCAUCGGAACGUGCCCAUGUCGUGGGGGAUAACGUAGCGAAAGCUACGCUAAUACCGCAUACGUCCUGAGGGAGAAAGCGGGGGGAUCUUAGGACCUCGCGCGAUUGGAGCGGCCGAUGUCGGAUUAGCUAGUAGGUGGGGUAAAGGCCCACCUAGGCGACGAUCCGUAGCGGGUCUGAGAGGAUGAUCCGCCACACUGGGACUGAGACACGGCCCAGACUCCUACGGGAGGCAGCAGUGGGGAAUUUUGGACAAUGGGCGCAAGCCUGAUCCAGCCAUGCCGCGUGAGUGAAGAAGGCCUCGGGUUGU
rnacentral:rRNA from 1 species